CAGGAAGUUGGCUGGCAGCUGCUUUAUUGAAAUGUUUUGUACAAAGUUUUUCUGUCUCUAAACAGCAAGUUAUGCGCUGAGCUGAUGGACUUUUAAAAUCUUUCUUUCUUCGUGUACAAACUGUAGCUUCAUAUAAGUUCUGCUGCUGCCUUCAGACAGAGAUUGGACAACUCUGGUUGGAUUUUCUUAUCUUUCUGCCUCAUCAGCUUCACAGAACGUCCAGCAGCUCAGAGACUGAAGAGCAGCUCCCUCCUCUUCAUCUUCUUCACAGUGUGGAUCUCUUUGCACCAAGUCUCAACAUGGCAAAAUCAGAUGUGAUGUUUGCUGCCUUCAAUCAUGGCCCUCAGAGACGUAAAUCUACCUCCUGCCUGAGCUCGGCGACCUUUUCGUCUCCCGGAGUCCUUCACGCCGGCGGAGGCCUGUCAGAGUUUAUCCAUCAGGAGGC
ensembl:lncRNA